rnacentral:rRNA from 1 species
GGGUGCGAUCAUACCAGCGUUAAUGCACCGGAUCCCAUCAAAACUCCGUAGUUAAGCGCGCUUGGGCUAGAGUAGUACUGGGAUGGGUGACCUCCCAGGAAGUCCUAGUGUUGCACCCU